rnacentral:rRNA from 1 species
GUGUGACUGCGUACCUUUUGUAUAAUGGGUCAGCGACUUAUAUUCUGUAGCAAGGUUAACCGAAUAGGGGAGCCGGAGGGAAACCGAGUCUUAACCGGGCGUUAAGUUGCAGGGUAUAGACCCGAAACCCGGUGAUCUAGCCAUGGGCAGGUUGAAGGUUGGGUAACACUAACUGGAGGACCGAACCGACUAAUGUUGAAAAAUUAGCGGAUGACCUGUGGCUGGGGGUGAAAGGCCAAUCAAACCGGGAGAUAGCUGGUUCUCCCCGAAAGCUAUUUAGGUAGCGCCUCGUGAAUUCAUCUCCGGGGGUAGAGCACUGUUUCGGCUAGGGGGCCAUCCCGGCUUACCAACCCGAUGCAAACUGCGAAUACCGGAGAAUGUUAUCACGGGAGACACACGGCGGGUGCUAACGUCCGUCGUGAAGAGGGAAACAACCCAGACCGCCAGCUAAGGUCCCAAAGUCAUGGUUAAGUGGGAAACGAUGUGGGAAGGCCCAGACAGCCAGGAUGUUGGCUUAGAAGCAGCCAUCAUUUAAAGAAAGCGUAAUAGCUCACUGGUCGAGUCGGCCUGCGCGGAAGAUGUAACGGGGCUAAACCAUGCACCGAAGCUGCGGCAGCGA